GUGUCAGCAGCCGCGGUAAUACGUAGGUGGCGAGCGUUGUCCGGAAUUACUGGGUGUAAAGGGCGUGUAGGCGGGGACAUAAGUCAGAUGUGAAAUACCAUGGCUCAACUGUGGGGCUGCAUCUGAAACUAUGACUCUUGAGUGCUGGAGAGGAAAGCGGAAUUCCUAGUGUAGCGGUGAAAUGCGUAGAUAUUAGGAGGAACACCAGUGGCGAAGGCGGCUUUCUGGACAGUAACUGACGCUGAGGCGCGAAAGCGUGGGGAGCAAACAGGAUUAGAUACCCUGGUAGUCCACGCUGUAAACGAUGGAUACUAGGUGUAGGAGGUAUCGACCCCUUCUGUGCCGGAGUUAACACAAUAAGUAUCCCACCUGGGGAGUACGGCCGCAAGGUUGAA
rnacentral:rRNA from 1 species